GGAUGCGAUCAUACCAGCACUGAGGCAUCGGAUCCCAUCAGAACUCCGAAGUUAAGCGUGCUUGGGCGAGAGUAGUACUAGGAUGGGUGACCUCCUGGGAAGUCCUCGUGUUGCAUUCC
rnacentral:rRNA from 2 species